UACAGAGGGUGCAAGCGUUGUUCGGAAUUAUUGGGCGUAAAGCGCGUGUAGGCGGCUUUGCAAGUCGGAUGUGAAAGCCCUCGGCCUCAACCGAGGAAGUGCGUUCGAAACUGCAGAGCUUGAGUACCGGGAGAGGGUGGGCGGAAUUCCCCCAAAGUAGAGGUGAAAAUUCGUAGAUAUGGGGGAGGAACACCGGUGGCGAAGGCGGCCGAGCCUGGGACGGUCACUGACGCUGAGACGCGAAAGCGUGGGGAUCAAACAGG
rnacentral:rRNA from 1 species